rnacentral:rRNA from 1 species
GGCUCAGGACGAACGCUGGCGGCGUGCUUAACACAUGCAAGUCGAACGAUGAAGCCCUUCGGGGUGGAUUAGUGGCGAACGGGUGAGUAACACGUGGGCAAUCUGCCCUUCACUCUGGGACAAGCCCUGGAAACGGGGUCUAAUACCGGAUAAUACCGGCUUCCGCAUGGAAGCUGGUUGAAAGCUCCGGCGGUGAAGGAUGAGCCCGCGGCCUAUCAGCUUGUUGGUGGGGUAAUGGCCUACCAAGGCGACGACGGGUAGCCGGCCUGAGAGGGCGACCGGCCACACUGGGACUGAGACACGGCCCAGACUCCUACGGGAGGCAGCAGUGGGGAAUAUUGCACAAUGGGCGAAAGCCUGAUGCAGCGACGCCGCGUGAGGGAUGACGGCCUUCGGGUUGUAAACCUCUUUCAGCAGGGAAGAAGCGAAAGU